CCUCACAAGUGUGUCUUCAGUGUCUGACAUGAACUGGGAACUUGGGGCAUCUUUAGAAGCACAGACAUUUGGAGUUCCACGGCAAACCUGGAUGUAAGCACUCACACAGCUUUUAAAGUGAAAGCAGGGACCUUGAGGAAGGAAUCGCCGUCAUCUCAUUGCCGACCUGCUUACUGUGCUGGGAAACAAACCAGCUACCAUACUGGGAACUGCCCAAUGGAGAGGCCCACAUUCCACAAGGAACUGAUGUCUUCAGCCAAUACCUCGCCAGGACCUGAGGCCUGCUGAGAGUCACGAGUGGCCUUCGUGGGUCCUCUCUCAACGAGCUUGCAGGUGACCACUGCGCCAGCCAAAACCUUGAUGGCAGCCUAUGAGUGAGUGACCCUGAGCCAGAAGACCCAGUUAAGCCAUGCCCAGGAUCCUGACCUGCAGAAACUAUGACAUAAUAAAUUUAUUGUUUUAUGCCACUAA
rnacentral:lncRNA from 1 species